GACGAACGCUGGCGGCGUGCUUAAUACAUGCAAGUCGAACGGACAGGCGCUGCUCUUGUGGGGUGCUCGAGUGGCGAACGGGUGAGUAACACGCGAGUAAACCGCCCUUGACUUUGGGAUAACUUCAGGAAACAGGGGCUAAUACCGGAUAGGAGCUCCUGCUGCAUGGGGGGCGAUGGAGAGUUUCGGCGGUUGUGGAUGGACUAGCGGCUUAUCAGCUUGUUGGGGGGGUAGUGGCUUACAAAGGCUUUGACGGGUAGCCGGCCUGGGAGGGUGACCGGCCACCUUGGGCCUGAGGUACGGCCCAGUCUCCUACGGGAGGCAGCAGUGGGGAAUAUUGCACAAUGGGCGGAAGCCUGAUGCAGCAACGCCGCGUGCGGGAUGACGGCCUUCGGGUUGUAAACCGCUUUCGCCUGUGACGAAGCGUGAGUGACGGUAAUGGGUAAAGAAGCACCGGCUAACUACGUG
rnacentral:rRNA from 1 species